rnacentral:rRNA from 1 species
GACGAACGCUGGCGGCGUGCUUAACACAUGCCAGUCGAACGGUAAGGCCCUGCUUUUGUGGGGUGCUCGAGUGGCGAACGGGUGAGUAACACGAGAGUAACCUGCCCUUGACUUUGGGAUAACUUCAGGAAACUGGGGCUAAUACCGGAUAGGAGCUCCUGCUGCAUGGUGGGGGUUGGAAAGGUUCGGCGGUGGGGGGUGGACUCGCGGCUGAUUAGCUUGUUGGUGGGGUAGUGGCUUACCAAGGCUUUGACGGGUAGCCGGCCUGGGAGGGUGGCCGGCCACAUUGGGACUGGGAUACGGCCCAGACUCCUACGGGAGGCAGCAGUGGGGAAUAUUGCACAAUGGGCGGAAGCCGGAUGCAGCAACGCCGCGUGCGGGAUGACGGCCUUCGGGUUGUAACCCGCUUUCGCCUGUGACGAAGCGUGGGUGACGGUAAUGGGUAAAGAAGCACCGGCUAACUACGUG